GCUCGGAUGGUCUAGUGGUAUGAUUCUCGCUUAGGGUUACUCCCUAAGUAUCUUCAGUGAUUUGCGAGAGGUCCCAGGUUCAAAUCCUGGUUCGAGCC